AGAGAGACAGAGACUCACAGAGACAGAGGACACGGCCGGAGACGCGGGGACGCAGCGGCCGGAGACCUGGGGUCCCCGAGCACCGACACAGGCGACCAGAAUAAAAGGGAAGUCUUGGAAAACAGGCAGGAAUGAGAGAAGUGAAGCAAUAAGUAACCAGCUCACAACUCAAAUCACACCACCAAACCAGUCCAGUGAUGACACUGCUGCCAUGACCAGUGACACUGCCCUCUCUGGGUCCUGCAUGCUGUUUCCAUGGCCCCUGGAAAGUUGCCAUGCCUGCUGCUGUUCCCUCUUUGCUACCAGAAUGGAUUCUCUAUGGCCCCUGCUCUUCUGGGUUAUCAGCUCCUGAUUCAAAGUCUGGGACCUAGAAGGUGAAGAACCUAGACUGCUGCAACAUCUCCAGGAGAAAGGAUGGGCUGUGAACAGCACCAAGGUUCAGGGACCUCGUUUGUCAGUCAAAUUCUUGGGGGUUGUCUGGUUAGGUGAGAUUAAAGUGAUCCCAGAAGCAGUCAUAGGUAAAGCCCAGGUCUUUCCUACCCCUACAACUGUGGCAUUAUUACAUUAUUUUGGGGUCUGCUAAGCUACUCGAGAGUGUUUAUCCCACACUUGGCACAAAUUCUGAAGUUCUUAUACUGUUUCGUAUAAAAGGGUGUCAGGUGGGACUGGGUUGAGACAUAUGCAUUUGUUUUCA